GAUGAAGAACGUAGCGAAAUGCGAUAAGUAAUGUGAAUUGCAGAAUUCAGUGAAUCAUCGAAUCUUUGAACGCACAUUGCGUCCCUUGGUAUUCCGAGGGGCAUGCCUGUUCGAGCGUCAUUAUAACCCCUCAAGCUCAGCUUGGUGUUGGGGCCUGCUGCACUGGCAGCCCUUAAAAUCAGUGGCGGCGCCAUCUGGCUCUAAGCGUAGUAAUUCUUCUCGCUAUGGAGUCCUGGUGGAUGCUUGCCAUCAACCCCCAAUUUUUCUAUGGUUGACCUCGGAUCAGGUAGGGAUACCCGCUGAACUUAAGCAUAUCAAUAAGCGGAGGA
rnacentral:misc_RNA from 1 species